rnacentral:tRNA from 1 species
GUGGCUAUAGCUCAGUUUGUAGAGUGCUUGCCUAGCACAUGGGAGGUACUGAGUUUAAUCCUCAGUACCACA